rnacentral:rRNA from 1 species
GACGAACGCUGGCGGCGUGCUUAACACAUGCAAGUCGAACGGAAAGGCCCUGCUUUUGUGGGGUGCUCGAGUGGCGAACGGGUGAGUAACUCGUGAGUAACCUGCCCUUGACUUUGGGAUAACUUCAGGAAACUGGGGCUAAUACCGGAUAGGAGCUCCUGCUGCAUGGUGGGGGUUGGAAAGUUUCGGCGGUUGGGGAUGGACUCGCGGCUUAUCAGCUUGUUGGUGGGGUAGUGGCUUACCAAGGCUUUGACGGGUAGCCGGCCUGAGAGGGUGACCGGCCACCUUGGGACUGAGAUACGGCCCAGACUCCUACGGGAGGCAGCAGUGGGGAAUAUUGCACAAUGGGCGGAAGCCUGAUGCAGCAACGCCGCGUGCGGGAUGACGGCCUUCGGGUUGUAAACCGCUUUCGCCUGUGACGAAGCGUGAGUGACGGUAAUGGGUAAAGAAGCACCGGCUAACUACGUG